CAGCAGCCGCGGUAAUACAGAGGGUGCGAGCGUUAAUCGGAUUUACUGGGCGUAAAGCGUGCGUAGGUGGCUUCUUAAGUCGGAUGUGAAAUCCCUGAGCUUAACUUAGGAAUUGCAUUCGAUACUGGGAAGCUAGAGUAUGGGAGAGGAUGGUAGAAUUCCAGGUGUAGCGGUGAAAUGCGUAGAGAUCUGGAGGAAUACCGAUGGCGAAUGCAGCCAUCUGGCCUAAUACUGACGCUGAGGUACGAAAGCAUGGGGAGCAAACAGGAUUAGAUACCCCGGUAGUCCCUGUCUCUUAUAC
rnacentral:rRNA from 1 species